UACAUGCUAAAAACCUCGACUUCGGAAGGGGUGUAUUUAUUAGAUAAAAAACCAAUGCCUUUCGGGGCUCCUUGGUGAUUCAUAAUAACUUAACGAAUCGCAUGGCCUUGUGCCGGCGAUGGUUCAUUCAAAUUUCUGCCCUAUCAACUUUCGAUGGUAGGAUAGUGGCCUACCAUGGUUUCAACGGGUAACGGGGAAUUAGGGUUCUAUUCCGGAGAGGGAGCCUGAGAAACGGCUGCCACAUCCAAGGAAGGCAGCAGGCGCGCAAAUUACCCAAUCCCGACACGGGGAGGUAGUGACAAUAAAUACUGAUACAGGGCUCUUUUGGGUCUUGUAAUUGGAAUGAGUACAAUUUAAAUCCCUUAACGAGGAACAAUUGGAGGGCAAGUCUGGUGCCAGCAGCCGCGGUAAUUCCAGCUCCAAUAGCGUAUAUUAAAGUUGUUGCAGUUAAAAAGCUCGUAGUUGAACCUUGAGCCUGGCUGGCCGGUCCGCCUCACCGCGUGCACUGGUCCGGCCGGGUUUUUCCUUCUGGGGAGCCGCAUGCCCUUCACUGGGUGUGUCGGGGAACCAGGACUUUUACUUUGAAAAAAUUAGAGUGUUCAAAGCAGGCCUAUGCUCGAAUACAUUAGCAUGGAAUAAUAGAAUAGGACGUGUGGUUCUAUUUUGUUGGUUUCUAGGACCGCCGUAAUGAUUAAUAGGGAUAGUCGGGGGCAUCAGUAUUCAAUUGUCAGAGGUGAAAUUCUUGGAUUUAUUGAAGACUAACUACUGCGAAAGCAUUUGCCAAGGAUGUUUUCAUUAAUCAGUGAACGAAAGUUAGGGGAUCGAAGACGAUCAGAUACCGUCGUAGUCUUAACCAUAAACUAUGCCGACUAGGGAUCGGGCGAUGUU
rnacentral:rRNA from 1 species